rnacentral:rRNA from 1 species
AGUAGACGUUCAGAGUUUGAUCCUGGCUCAGGAUGAACGCUGGCGGCGUGCCUAAUACAUGCAAGUCGAGCGAACAGAUAAGGAGCUUGCUCCUUUGACGUUAGCGGCGGACGGGUGAGUAACACGUGGAUAACCUACCUAUAAGACUGGGAUAACUUCGGGAAACCGGAGCUAAUACCGGAUAACAUAUUGAACCGCAUGGUUCAAUAGUGAAAGGCGGCUUUGCUGUCACUUAUAGAUGGAUCCGCGCCGUAUUAGCUAGUUGGUAAGGUAACGGCUUACCAAGGCAACGAUACGUAGCCGACCUGAGAGGGUGAUCGGCCACACUGGAACUGAGACACGGUCCAG